rnacentral:lncRNA from 1 species
GUUGGGUGUCUGCUUCCAGUUUAGAAGACCUCUUUGCCAGGAACAAAUGCUGACUAUUUGAUCUGCUCUGGGAUCCAUUCAAGAUUCUGUUUACCCAGCUUUUGCUCUGAAUUGUAACGUUAUAGAUUACCAACUUAACUUACCAACCACUACAGAACUGGUGAUUCAUGUCUGAAGCAGUCUUUCAGUACCAGCUGCAGUCCUACAGGUGGUAAAUCUUCUCUAUUUUCAGAGCAUCCCUGGGAAGAGCCCUGGAGUGAAGGAGGAGAAGCACAGGGGGUGGUGUGGCGCUGAACAGAGCCUGGAAAUGCUAUCUCUCUCAAAAUGCUGUACUCCAGGGAGCCCUGAAAGCUGCUGCAACCUAUCUCAGAAAAUGCUAUGUCAGAAAGAGAAAUAGAUUUUUUUCCUAAACUUCCUUGAAUUCUAAAGACAACAUUUAAGGCAAUCCUAAGAAGUAGCCACAGAAUGUAUGUGACUUUUUUCCUUUUUUUUUUUUUCCUUUUUUUUUUUUUUUUUUAAGUGCUUGUCUGAAAAUACUGCCUGAUAUGCCUGGAGAGAACCUUGGAGUACCAAAGGAAAUACUUGUGUCAUUGGCUUACUAAAUGAAUAGUAACUCUAUGGAUGUCAGAAUGAUUCAGGUGAUCACCAUUUAUAUCUUCCUCUUACUUCAUUUAGGUUUGCUCACUUUGCCCACAGGAGAUGGUGAAUAAGCCCCCUUCCAUCAUACUUGCUCUCCAGACAGACACCCAGGAGUCACCCGCAUCACCAGAUUCUGCAGAGGGCAGCAUUAAGAGCCAGGGUGAUACAUCAUUUUUUCCUGUCCAAUGCUGCUCUCUGUUGAAUGAAGUUGUAGGCAGCACAUCACGUUUGCAGUAUAUAUUGAUUUACGAUUUCAAAGUGCUGAACAAACAACCCAUUCUUCCAAGCAGACCACAGAUAAUGACUCAUUAGCUCCAAUUUAAUAUGCAGGAAAAGUGGGAGGACAAUGGUUGCACAAUUAAUCUGCUAGGCCACAGGGCAUUAAGGAUGCCAUGCUCAUCUGCUCCGCCAAUGGAGCUGCAUUAGCUCCACUGCUUGAAGCACCCAAGUGGAGGAGAAGAAAGAACCCCUUCAGCUCCUCUGUGCUGCUGCAUUCUGGGGUUUGACACCUCCUGUGCACAUUUUUUGUCCUGUUAGUCGAUGCACUGGCAUUGAACUCCACAUCUGGCUUGUGCUUUUUCUACAGCAGCUGAAAUGCAGUUUCUUGUCUUCCCAGGGAAAGGAUGCAUUGCAAGGAAAUGCUCAGUUGGAUUGUUUUCGCUUCCUUCUUUCUUUGACAGUUUUGUCUUUCCAUGGGCUGCCCUUCUGUCAGAUGUGUCUCCUUUCUGCUGGAGAACUUGGUGUCAAAUCAAACUGUACUGGGACAAAAAUAAGCCAAUUGAGUGAGUAAAUAGUUGCCUGGAAAGACCAGGUACCAUCAAACAAAUAUGUUUAAAAUUGACACAAGAUGCUGUUUUCCUGCUCUGAUAGACUCAUACCCAUGCUUUAAUUGUAUCCAAACAACCAUCUGCUAUGAAAAGCAGUGCACUUGCUUUGCUGAUGUAAUCCUUAUCGGAGACUGGGAAAGCCUUGUUCUGCUUUGGGAAGCCAAGAUGCUAGGAACAUUUAUUUCAUUCAUAGUAAUGCACUUCUAAAACAUACCUUUAGGCAAACAUUUGUGCAUUUUAGUACAAAUAUUCAUCGAGGACACAUAUUCUUGGUUGUUUGCCCACAUAGAUAUGAAUAGCAUUUGAUACAUACUCAUUCUUAGUAACUCUCAAGGUUUUCUGCCUUUUCCCUUUGUCACUGAUGAAAGCAGAUAUUUGUCAGUAAAUAUUGUGUUUGGGCACACCAACAUUUCAAGAUACUGCCUGAAAAUGUGUGUUGAAGGUGUAAAGAAUUGAGGAGAAACAAGAGAAAGAAAAAUGAAAGAAGCCUUUCCUCGAUGAAUAAAAUGGGUUUUUCUGUUUUUGUAACUCAAAACAUGCGUAGGUGAAUGAAUUCUACACAAAUUCAGCUUCAGGCAGAGCCUGGGAAAAGGUGGUGAAAGUACUGGAAAAGUGUGCUCUGUAAUGAAGUCUCCUAGAUUUUAACAUUGGUGAAUUUGCAUAUAAUUAAAAGGUAAUGGAACAUGAUAUUUCCUUUAGUUCCCAUCUAAGCUAAAACAGUAGAAAGUGUAAUUUAUUAAAAAGAGCAUAAGCAGCAUUUUCCCUUCCUUUAAUCAGACCUAUGACAAUCAGAAAAAUCAAAAGUAAAUCUAAACCACAUGUGUAUAAUUCAAAACAUAAACAGAUUCUUUAGCUUAUAUACAUACUGUGAGAAAAUAGUUGGGUAAAUAGCAUCAUUGUGCUCCUGGGAAACAAUGGCAGAGACAUUGUAUGGCUGAAUUUUCAGAGACUGAAAUUUCUUUACAGAGCAACCUAUAAAAAUUUAUUGUCUAAAUCUUGCUGUAAAAUCUAUCAUGUUAUGGGCAUUUUGAUCAUACUGAAUUAAUCCUUCUCUCUCUUCUCUCUCUCUCUCUUUUUUUUUUUAAUGGGUACUUCAACAGUCAUGGG